rnacentral:rRNA from 1 species
CGCCUGCCCUGUGACAUAUGUUUAACGGCCGCGGUAUUUUGACCGUGCAAAGGUAGCGCAAUCACUUGUCUUUUAAAUGAAGACCUGUAUGAAUGGCAUGACGAGGGCUUAGCUGUCUCCUUUUUCCAGUCAAUGAAAUUGAUCUCCCCGUGCAGAAGCGGGGAUAUAACCAUAAGACGAGAAGACCCUAUGGAGCUUUAGACGUAAGGCAGAUCUUGUUAAACACUUCAAAAUAAAGAAACAAACUAAAAGUGACCCUGCCCUGUUGUCUUUGGUUGGGGCGACCACGGGGAGACAAACAACCCCCAAGCGGACUGGGAAAACAGUUCUCACAACCGAGAGUUACAACUCUAAUCAACAGAAAUUCUGACCUCAAGAUCCGGCAAAGCCGAUCAACGGACCGAGUUACCCUAGGGAUAACAGCGCAAUCCCCUUUUAGAGUCCAUAUCGACAAGGGGGUUUACGACCUCGAUGUUGGAUCAGGACAUCCUAAUGGUGCAGCAGCUAUUAAGGGUUCGUUUGUUCAACGAUUAAAGUCCU